rnacentral:rRNA from 1 species
UACGUAGGGACCGAGCGUUGUCCGGAAUCAUUGGGCGUAAAGGGCGCGUAGGCGGCCUUCUAAGUCGAACGUGAAAUCCCUGGGCUCAACCCAGGAACUGCGUCCGAUACUGGAAGGCUUGAAUCCGGGAGAGGGAUGCGGAAUUCCUGGUGUAGCGGUGAAAUGCGCAGAUAUCAGGAGGAACACCGGUGGCGAAGGCGGGUCUCUGGGCCGAUACUGACGCUGAGGAGCGAAAGCGUGGGGAGCGAACAGG